GGACUCAAAAAAAAAAAAAAAAGCUGGCAAUGAAAACUAAAGAUCUGAAUGAUUUUUCACUGAAAAUGAAAAAGAUUCCUUCAUCCAAUGUAUACCUAUCUACCUACUGAUUUGCCCAAAGUAGACCAAGCUCACCAUGAUAGAAGUGGGGGCCCAAGUCUAAGAACAUCUCCUUGAAGCCAUCUCAUCAUCACCUUCCUGCACCCGAGAUGACUUCAAAUCAACAUCAUAUUUCCCCGCUCUGAUAUAUGUAAAUGGCCCUCUAUCUUCCCUGAACUUCCCUGAAAUGUCACCAAUUUGGCUAUCAAUACUCCUACCAUGGCACGUAGGAGUAUCUUUGCCAAAGAAAUCUGGAACAUCUCUAUAACGAGAACUAUAACCGUCUGCAUCAUUACAACGAAAUCGCUUCACAGGUCCAUCCAUGUCAUUUUGCUUCGCAGGAUGAGCUGACCCAUAUCUAUACCGAUGCUUGCCCCUAUCAUCAUCACUCUCUUCAUACCUUAAACUCCCUCCACCACCUCCACUCAUCUCCGUGAAUCUUCUUGGGUGCAUAGACCUGAAGCUUCGUGAAGAGUCAACAAAAACAAACCUGUCAUCCAGUUGGGCAAAUCUUCCCAUUGAUCUCCGGCCUAAUGAAG
rnacentral:misc_RNA from 1 species